rnacentral:rRNA from 1 species
ACGAACGCUGGCGGCGUGCUUAACACCUGCAAGUCGAACGGAAAGGCCCUGCUUGCAGGGUGCUCGAGUGGCGAACGGGUGAGUAACACGUGGGUGAUCUGCCCCUUACUUUGGGAUAAGCCUGGGAAACUGGGUCUAAUACUGGAUAGGACCAUGCUGUAGGUGGUGUGGUGGAAAGAUUAGUUUCGGUAAGGGAUGAGCUCGCGGCCUAUCAGCUUGUUGGUGGGGUAAUGGCCUACCAAGGCGUCGACGGGUAGCCGGCCUGAGAGGGUGGACGGCCACAUUGGGACUGAGAUACGGCCCAGACUCCUACGGGAGGCAGCAGUGGGGAAUAUUGCACAAUGGGCGCAAGCCUGAUGCAGCGACGCCGCGUGGGGGAUGACGGCCUUCGGGUUGUAAACUCCUUUCAGCCAUGACGAAGCCUUCGGGUGACGGUAGUGGUAGAAGAAGCACCGGCUAACUACGUG